rnacentral:rRNA from 1 species
CAUUUCAUGGAAGCAGCAGGCGCGCAAUUACCCAAUCCUGACUCAGGGAGGUAGUGACAAGAAAUAACAAUAAACCGGCUUAUGCCGGUUUAAUUGGAAUGAGUACAAUUUAAACAUCUUAACGAGGAACAAUUGGAGGGCAAGUCUGGUGCCAGCAGCCGCGGUAAUUCCAGCUCCAAUAGCGUAUACUAAAGUUGUUGCAGUUAAAAAGCUCGUAGUUGGAUUUCUGUGGGGACGGAGCGGCCGGCCGCACAUCGCGGUUCGAGCUAGCGCUUUCCCUACAUCCUGCCGCGAACCGUGCUACCAUUAGUUUGGUGGCGCCGGGGAUCGGCUCGAUUACUUUGAGAAAAAUAGAGUGUUCAAAGCAGGCCACAUGCCUUGAAUAAGUUAGCAUGGAAUAAUAACUAAGGACUUCGGUUCUAUUUUGUUGGUGUUCGGGACUGAAGUAAUGAUUGAUAGGGACAGUUGGGGCGGUCUGUAUUCCAAAGCGAGAGGUGAAAUUCUUAGACCUUCGGAAGACAAACAGCUGCGAAAGCGUUCCGCAAGGAUGUUCCCUUUGAUCAAGAACGAAAGUUGGGGGAUCGAAGACGAUCAGAUACCGUCGUAGUCUCAACUAUAAACUAUACCAGCUAGGGAUCGGCCAACGUUAUUUCAAACCGACUUGGUCGGCACCUUAUGAGAAAUCAAAGCAUCUGGGUUCCGGGGGGAGUAUGGUCGCAAGGCUGAAACUUAAAGGAAUUGACGGAAGGGCACCACCAGCCGUGGAGCCUGUGGCUUAAUUUGACUCAACACGGGAAAACUUACCAGGUCCAGACAUAGUAAGGAUUGACAGAUUGAUAGCUCUUUCUUGAUUCUGUGGGUGGUGGUGCAUGGCCGUUCUUAGUUGGUGGAGUGAUUUGUCUGGUUAAUUCCGUUAACGAACGAGACCCCAGCCUGCUAAAUAGCGCGCGUGAGCUUUGCUCGCGGCGAGCUUCUUAGAGGGACUAUGAUGCGCGAUAGCACAUGGAAGUUUGGGGCAAUAACAGGUCUGUGAUGCCCUUAGAUGUUCUGGGCCGCACACGGGCUACACUGGCGCCUGCAACGAGCAUAUCAGCUGGCCCGAGAGGGUCUUGGCUAAUCUUUUGAACCGGCGCCGUGCUUGGGAUUGACCUUUGCAAUUGUUGGUCAUGCAACGAGGAAUGCCUUGUAAACGCGAGUCAUCAGCUCGCAUUGAAUACGUCCCUGCCCUUUGUACACACCGCCCGUCGCUCCUACCGAUGAAUGUUCCGAUGAAAUUUUCGGAGAGCACCUGUGAACUUGGCUCUGCCUUGCGAACGGGAGGCUCAAAGUCACUAAAUCUGAAACAUUAGA